rnacentral:rRNA from 1 species
CCUACGGGAGGCUGCAGUGAGGAAUAUUGGUCAAUGGACGAGAGUCUGAACCAGCCAAGUAGCGUGAAGGAUGACUGCCCUAUGGGUUGUAAACUUCUUUUAUAUGGGAAUAAAAUGUUCCACGUGUGGGUUUUUGUAUGUACCAUAUGAAUAAGGAUCGGCUAACUCCGUGCCAGCAGCCGCGGUAAUACGGAGGAUCCGAGCGUUAUCCGGAUUUAUUGGGUUUAAAGGGAGCGUAGGUGGAUUGUUAAGUCAGUUGUGAAAGUUUGCGGCUCAACCGUAAAAUUGCAGUUGAAACUGGCAGUCUUGAGGACAGUAGAGGUGGGCGGAAUUCGUGGUGUAGCGGUGAAAUGCUUAGAUAUCACGAAGAACUCCGAUUGCGAAGGCAGCUCACUGGACUGCAACUGACACGGAGGCUCGAAAGUGUGGGUAUCAAACAGGAUUAGAUACCCCAGUAGUC